rnacentral:lncRNA from 1 species
AUGUCUUCUGACUCAAGGCUAUGGGCAGUUGCAGUUGGGGAAGUGAAAAGGAAACUAGAUUCCACUGAUUGUUUUAACGUGACUGCUAAAACAGACAGCCAGAGAUCAAAGAAAAAAGCUUUAAUUUUCUCCAGGGAUACAGAAAUCAGAUUUGUAAAUUAAGUUUAAGUGGUGAUGUUCUGGUGAAGGAUUAAGAGAGUUGUUGGAGAAACAGGACGUACACUCCAACUUGCAACUCUAACAAAUGACAUGGUUGACCUUUCAUCAAGCUGCGGGAUGAUGAUCAGCAGUACUGCGAGCUCUGGGAAUCUAAGGUGAAAAGGUAAAAUUUCAUUUUGGAAAAAGUGUUUUUUAAAUUAGCCUUAUGCUGUUUAGGUCAUGAUUCUCUGUUACCAUUCAUCAAAAUGCACUGGUGUGGUUUUCGUGCCAGUGAUUAAGCAAGGGAUGCUUCUUCGCUUCAAUAAUUUUGUUUUGUGUCUCAAAGAAAAGUGAUUUCUACAGUGCUAAAACUUAGUUCAUACAAGCUAGCUUACACAGGCUGGUAAAAGGUUGGACCAAAACCAUUGUUUCUCUUGCACAGCUUGAAAGGUAUGAGUGUGUAACAGGAACAUGGUGUUGUACUCAGUCUAAUGUUUUAAAAAUUGAGGGAUGGGAGAGCCAAGGACAGUGUUGCAUCUGUUUUGUUGGAUAGUUAUCCAACAAAAGUUGUUGUUUCGGAGAACUCCUUGCUGAGAACUUGAAUGUGUUGAAAGCUCACAAAAGUGUACAGCAAUCCUGGGUACUUAGUAUGAUUUCCCCCACUGUUCUUCUCCACUUUUCUUGGAACAAAGACUUUGCUUUAAGAUGAAGGAUUGAGUGGUGCUACUGUUACUGUGUUAUUCUAUGAAAUGAUGAUUCAUCAGUAUGCAAAAUAAGGUUACUGUAUUACAAACAUUAUCAGAUCCUUAUUUUUGAAUACAAGAGGAGUGAUUUCAGAGGUGAUAGGACAGCUUGGCAAGAGUAGUCCAGCAUUAUGUAUAAGCAUUUAUAGAAUAAAUGCCUAAGUCUGAUUAAUAUAGAAGACA